GAUGAACGCUGGCGGCGUGCCUAAUACAUGCAAGUCGAGCGAACGGACGAGAAGCUUGCUUCUCUGAUGUUAGCGGCGGACGGGUGAGUAACACGUGGAUAACCUACCUAUAAGACUGGGAUAACUUCGAGAAACCGGAGCUAAUACCGGAUAAUAUUUUGAACCGCAUGGUUCAAAAGUGAAAGACGGUCUUGCUGUCACUUAUAGAUGGAUCCGCGCUGCAUUAGCUAGUUGGUAAGGUAACGGCUUACCAAGGCAACGAUGCAUAGCCGACCUGAGAGGGUGGUCGGCCACACUGGAACUGAGACGCGGUCCAGACUCCUACGGGAGGCAGCAGUAGGGAAUCUUCCGCAAUGGGCGAAAGCCUGACGGAGCAACGCCGCGUGAGUGAUGAAGGUCUUCGGAUCGUAAAACUCUGUUAUUAGGGGAGAACAUAUGUGUAAGUAACUGUGCACAUCUUGACGGUACCUAAUCAGAAAGCCACGGCUAACUACGUG
rnacentral:rRNA from 1 species